rnacentral:rRNA from 1 species
GACGUAGGGCGCGAGCGUUGUCCGGAUUUAUUGGGCGUAAAGAGCUCGUAGGCGGCUUGUCGCGUCGACCGUGAAAACUCGCAGCUCAACUGCGAGCCUGCGGUCGAUACGGGCAGGCUAGAGUUCGGUAGGGGAGACUGGAAUUCCUGGUGUAGCGGUGAAAUGACGCAGAUAUCAGGAGGAACACCGAUGGCGAAGGCAGGUCUCUGGGCCGAUACUGACGCUGAGGAGCGAAAGCGUGGGGAGCGAACAGG